rnacentral:sRNA from 1 species
AUUUUCUUGAUCAGGUUUAAAAAAUAGCGUAUAAAGUCACCUUCGUGUUUGAUUCAAAGUCACUGCAGUACUGGUUUUACCAUGUGCAAUCUUCGAUCAAAUGGUUUUGCGGGAGUUUUUCCCGUGUUUUUAAAAAAGGAAGUAGUCACAUGGCAACUGGUACAGUUAAGUGGUUCAAUGAUGCAAAAGGUUUCGGUUUCGUAACUCCUGAUGAUGGUAGCGAAGAUCUGUUCGCACACUUCUCAGCGAUCAACAUGAACGGUUUCAAGACCCUUCAAGAAGGUCAAAAAGUAAGUUUUGAAGUUACGCAAGGUCCUAAGGGCAAGCAAGCUUCAAACAUCCAAGCUGCUUAAUUAGCGCUUGUUAAAAAGCCCGGAACGAAAGUUCCGGGCUUUUUU